GGUGUAGGUGGUUGAGAAAGUCAGAUGUGAAAGCCCUGGGCCUAACCCAGGAAGUGCGUCUGAUACUACUCAACUGGAGUGCGAAAGAGGGAAGUGGAAUUUCUAGUGUAGGGGUGAAAUCCGUAGAUAUUAGAAGGAAUACCAAUGGCGAAGGCAGCUUCCUGGUUCGUAACUGACACUCAGACCCGAAAGCGUGGGUAGCAAACA
rnacentral:rRNA from 1 species